GGAUGUGAGGGCGAUCUGGCUGCAACAUCUGUCACCCCAUUGAUCGCCAGGGUGAUUUGGCUGAUCUGGCUGGCUAGGUGGGUGUCCCCUUCCUCCCUCACCGCUCCAUGUGCGUCCCUCCCGAAGCUGCGCACUCGGUCGAAGAGGACGACCUUCCCCGCUAGAGGAGGACUGGUCUUUGGGUUCGGUCAAGGGUAUACAAGUAGCUGCGCUCCCCUGCUAGAACCUCCAAACAAGCUCACAUCUUUCUCUGCAUCAGAAAAUUCAUACUAGGGAGAAACCCUAUGAAUAUAAUCAAUGUGGCAAAGCCUUUAUU
rnacentral:snRNA from 1 species